AUUGAACGCUGGCGGCAUGCCUUACACAUGCAAGUCGAACGGCAGCACGGGGGCAACCCUGGUGGCGAGUGGCGAACGGGUGAGUAACAUAUCGGAACAUACCCUAGAGUGGGGGAUAACGUAGCGAAAGUUACGCUAAUACCGCAUACGAUCUAAGGAUGAAAGUGGGGGAUCUUCGGACCUCAUGCUCAUGGAGUGGCCGAUAUCUGAUUAGCUAGUUGGUGAGGUAAAGGCUCACCAAGGCGACGAUCAGUAGCUGGUUUGAGAGAACGACCAGCCACGCUGGAACUGAGACACGGUCCAGACUCCUACGGGAGGCAGCAGUGGGGAAUUUUGGACAAUGGGCGCAAGCCUGAUCCAGCCAUGCCGCGUGCAGGAUGAAGGCCUUCGGGUUGUAAACUGCUUUGUACGGAACGAAAAGUUACUCUCUAAUACAGGGGCGAAUGACGGUACCGUAAGAAUAAGCACCGGCUAACUACGUGCCAGCAGCCGCGGUAAUC
rnacentral:rRNA from 1 species